rnacentral:tRNA from 1 species
GUUGGUAGAGCAGAGGACUGAAAAUCCUCGUGUCACUGGUUCGAUUCCGGUUCAAGGCA